rnacentral:rRNA from 1 species
UACGUAGGGUGCGAGCGUUGUCCGGAAUCACUGGGCGUAAAGGGCGCGUAGGCGGCUUCUUAAGCGUGCGGUGAAAGCUCGGGGCUCAACUCCGAGUCGGCCGUGCGAACUGGGAAGCUGGAGCACAGUAGAGGCGGGUGGAAUUCCGGGUGUAGCGGUGGAAUGCGUAGAGAUCGGGAAGAACAUCAGUGGCGAAGGCGGCCUGCUGGGCUGUUGCUGACGCUGAGGCGCGACAGCGUGGGGGAGCAAACAGG